UACGUAGGGGGCGAGCGUUGUCCGGAGUUACUGGGCGGAAAGGGCAUGCAGGCGGUCGGACGCGUUUCGGGUGACAGCGGGUGGCUUAACUACCCGAGUGGUCGAAAGACGGUUUGACUUGAGGACGCGAGAGGGACACGGAAUUCCGGGUGGAGUGGUGAAAUGCGUAGAGAUCCGGAGGAACACCGAAGGCGAAGGCAGUGUCCUGGCGCGUAACUGACGCUGAGGUGCGAAAGCCAGGGGAGCGAACGGG
rnacentral:rRNA from 1 species